AUUGAACGCUGGCGGCAGGCCUAACACAUGCAAGUCGAACGGUAACAGGGAUCAGCUUGCUGAUUCGCUGACGAGUGGCGGACGGGUGAGUAAUGUCUGGGAAACUGCCUGAUGGAGGGGGAUAACUACUGGAAACGGUAGCUAAUACCGCAUAACGUCGCAAGACCAAAGAGGGGGACCUUCGGGCCUCUUGCCAUCGUAUGUGCCCAGAUGGGAUUAGCUAGUAGGUGGGGUAACGGCUCACCUAGGCGACGAUCCCUAGCUGGUCUGAGAGGAUGACCAGCCACACUGGAACUGAGACACGGUCCAGACUCCUACGGGAGGCAGCAGUGGGGAAUAUUGCACAAUGGGCGCAAGCCUGAUGCAGCCAUGCCGCGUGUAUGAAGAAGGCCUUCGGGUUGUAAAGUACUUUCAGCGGGGAGGAAGGGAGUAAGGUUAAUACCUUUGCUCAUUGACGUUACCCGCAGAAGAAGCACCGGCUAACUCCGUG
rnacentral:rRNA from 1 species